AUAAAUACUGCUGAGAUAUAGAUGCCAAGGCAUUUGGGAACUUUUGCCUAUACCCAGCGUUAUUACUUAACUGGGUGAACUUAGAUAUGUUGUAUUUUCUGAGAGGAUAGCAUUUAUUUAUGAAAGGAUGGUUGUACUGUAGCAUUCUGAUGCCCCAUCCAUCUAUGAAACUGCAUAUAAUAAAUCUGAUAUUUAUUACUUUCAGAUAAUAAAUUUGAACAUGGUUUAAAAUAUUCAAAACAAUUGUUUUAAAGCUUAAGUAAGAAUUAUGUACAAACAUCCUAUCUAUUUCUGUCAGGCUUUAUUUUUGUAAAGUUGUCUAAUCAAUCCUUUUGGUAUCUGAUUACAGAGUUAUAGAAUUACAUAGCUGCUGAACACCACGUUAAAAAAAAUUAGCCAACACAUUUUCUUGUUGUCAAAGUCUGACAAAUAAUGACCUUCCAAUUGUUCAGGGUUUUGUAGAAGUGAGAAGUUAUUUCUAAAACCCUGUCUAGUGCUCUAUAGCUAAAAUAAACCUGAAAGCACUCACUUAAUUUUUUAUAAAAAAAAAAAUUGGCCUUCACUGUUUAUCUGAGUUUUGCCAUUGUGAAUAUGUCCAAUAAAUAGAGCUAUUGAGUUGAAGGGUCCCAGGAGCAAUAUGUAAUUGGAUUGGAUUUAUUCUACUUGUGUUUUGAGUGUUAGCUUUUUAUUUAACCUAGAUUUUCUUGCAGAAUCGAUCUCAUAUGCAAUUCAGUCCAUUGUUUUUCAAUAUGGAAUGCAUUUGGGCUUUUUCAGUAAAUAUAAUAUUAAAAGAGAUGAUUAUUAUAGUUAAAGUAUUUUUAUGACUUAUCUAAUAUUAAGCGUCAUUAACUUAAUAUUCCUGGGAUUUGGCAACAGGUAAGGAAUAAGGAAAAAAAACAAAUGUGAUCCUUAUGAUGAAAAAAGAAAAGUAGCAAAAGUGGCAAUUAAGAAAAUUCAAUUAUUUUAUUAUGGGUCAUAACAAAAUCUUAAGUUAGGCAGUGAUGAUUUUUAUGUUUUCAAAUGUGUAUUGUUGAGAUAAUAACACUGUGGCUUGAUUUCAAAACAUAUUUUACCUUAAGUAAAUUUUCUGUAAUGUGAAUAAACUAUUUCUUGCAAAUCUA